AGUGAACGCUGGCGGCGUGCCUAACACAUGCAAGUCGAACGAUGAUGGAGGAGCUUGCUCUUCCUGAUUAGUGGCGCACGGGUGAGUAAUGCAUAGAUAAUGUGCCCCUUGGUUCGGGAUAGCCACUGGAAACGGGGAUUAAUACCUGAUACUCCUUCUUGUCAUAAGAUGAGUGGGGAAAGUUUUUCGCUAAGGUAUCAGUCUAUGUUCCAUCAGUUAGUUGGUGAGGUAACGGCUCACCAAGACAAUGACGGAUAUCUGGUUUGAGAGGAUGAUCAGACACACUGGAACUGAGACACGGUCCAGACUCCUACGGGAGGCAGCAGUGAGGAAUAUUGCACAAUGGAGGAAACUCUGAUGCAGCAACGCCGCGUGGAGGAUGACGCAUUUCGGUGUGUAAACUCCUUUUAUUAGGGAAGAUUAUGACGGUACCUAAUGAAUAAGCACCGCUAACUCCGUGCCAGCCGCCGCUGUAACAC
rnacentral:rRNA from 1 species